GCUCUAUUAGCUCGAAAUUCCAGGAAUUAAACUAUAAAGUGCUAACAAGCUGGUAUAGAACGCCCGACACACUGCACCGCAUGCACGAUACCACGUCAGACACAUGCUGGCGAUGUGGCACACAACCCGGCACCUAUAUCCACAUAUGGUGGUCAUGCCCGGUAAUUACCCCUUUCUGGGAACAAAUUAGAGGAGAAAUCAACAAAAUCACAGGCGCAGAUAUACCCCUGGCACCCUUAACGAUGCUACUGCACCA